UCCGGUUUGUCACCGGCAGUCAUCCUAGAGUGCCCACCCGAAGUGCUGGCAACUAAGAUCAAGGGUUGCGCUCGUUGCGGGACUUAACCCAACAUCUCACGACACGAGCUGACGACAACCAUGCACCACCUGUCUCCUCUGUCCCGAAGGCCGCCGCUAUCUCUAGCGGAUUCAGAGGGAUGUCAAGACCUGGUAAGGUUCUUCGCGUUGCUUCGAAUUAAACCACAUACUCCACUGCUUGUGCGGGUCCCCGUCAAUUCCUUUGAGUUUCAGUCUUGCGACCGUACUCCCCAGGCGGAAUGCUUAAUGUGUUAACUUCGGCACCAAGGGUAUUGAAACCCCUAACACCUAGCAUUCAUCGUUUACGGCGUGGACUAC
rnacentral:misc_RNA from 1 species